rnacentral:rRNA from 1 species
GACGAACGCUGGCGGCGUGCCUAAUACAUGCAAGUCGAACGAACCGCGACUAGGUGCUUGCACUUGGUCAAGGUGAGUGGCGAACGGGUGAGUAACACGUGGGUAACCUACCUCAUAGUGGGGGAUAACAGUCGGAAACGACUGCUAAUACCGCAUAGGACAUAGGAUCACAUGAUCCAGUGAGGAAAGGUGGCGCAAGCUAUCGCUAAGAGAUGGACCCGCGGUGCAUUAGCUAGUUGGUAGGGUAAAGGCCUACCAAGGCGAUGAUGCAUAGCCGACCUGAGAGGGUGAUCGGCCACAUUGGGACUGAGACACGGCCCAAACUCCUACGGGAGGCAGCAGUAGGGAAUCUUCCGCGAUGGACGCAAGUCUGACGGAGCAACGCCGCGUGAGUGAAGAAGGUCUUCGGAUCGUAAAGCUCUGUUGUUAGAGAAGAACAGCGCAUAGAGUAACUGUUAUGCGUGUGACGGUAUCUAACCAGAAAGCCACGGCUAACUACGUG